rnacentral:rRNA from 14 species
CAAGCUACUAAGUGCGAUCGGUGGAUGCCUUGGCACCAAGAGCCGAUGAAGGACGUUGUGACCUGCGAUAAGCCCUGGGGAGUUGGUGAGCGAGCUGUGAUCCGGGGGUGUCCGAAUGGGGAAACCUGGAAUGUCCGGAGUAGUGUCCGGUGGCCCUGCCCUGAAUGUAUAGGGGUGUGGGUGGUAACGCGGGGAAGUGAAACAUCUUAGUACCCGUAGGAAGAGAAAACAAGUGUGAUUCCGUGAGUAGUGGCGAGCGAAAGCGGAGGAGGCUAAACCGUGUGUGUGUUCAAGCCGGCAGGUGUUGCAUGUGCGGGGUUGUGGGGGCCUGUGUGAUCCUGCUGCCGUGGGAUCGGCUUGCAUGUGGUGUGAAGUUGAAUCGUCUGGGAAGGCGGACCGUAGUGGGUGAGAGUCCCGUAGACGUGAGUGUCAUGUGUGGUUGUCAGGUUGCCCCAAGUAGCGCGGUACUCGUGGAAUGUCGCGUGAAUCUGGCGGGACCACCCGUUAAGCCUAAAUACUUCUUGGUGACCGAUAGUGUAUCAGUACCGUGAGGGAAUGGUGAAAAGUACCCCGGGAGGGGAGUGAAAUAGUACCUGAAACCAUGUGCCUACAAACCGUUGGAGCCUCCUUGUGGGGUGACAGCGUGCCUUUUGAAGAAUGAGCCUGCGAGUUAGUGAUACGUGGCGAGGUUAACCCGUGUGGGGAAGCCGUAGCGAAAGCGAGUCCGAAUAGGGCGUCUCAGUCGCGUGCUCUAGACCCGAAGCGAAGUGAUCUAGCCAUGGGCAGGUUGAAGGUUGGGUAACACUAACUGGAGGACCGAACCGACUACCUUUGAAAAGUUAGCGGAUGACCUGUGGAUCGGAGUGAAAGGCUAAUCAAGCUCGGAGAUAGCUGGUUCUCCUCGAAAGCUAUUUAGGUAGCGCCUCGGACGAACACCAUUGGGGGUAGAGCACUGUUUCGGCUAGGGGGUCAUCCCGACUUACCAAACCGAUGCAAACUCCGAAUACCGAUGAGUGAUAUCCGGGAGACAGACGGCGGGUGCUAACGUCCGUCGUCAAGAGGGAAACAACCCAGACCGCCAGCUAAGGCCCC